GAUGAACGCUGGCGGCGUGCUUAAUACAUGCAAGUCGAGCGAACGGACGAGAAGCUUGCGUCUCUGAUGUUAGCGGCGGACGGGUGUGUAACACGUGGAUAACGUACCUAUAAGACGGGGAUAACUUCGGGAAACCGGAGCUAAUACCGGAUGAGAUUUUGAACCGCAGUGUUCAAAAGAGAAAGUCGGUCGUGCGGUCACGUAUAGAGGGAUCCGCGCUGGAUUGGCUAGUAGUGAAUGUAACGGGUUAUGAAGGCAACGAUGCAUAGACGACCGGGUAGAGUGGUCGGCCACCCGGGAACUGAGACGCGGUCCAUACUCCUACGGGAGGCCGCAGUCGCGAAUCUUCCGCAAUGGGCGAAAGCCUGACGGAGCAACGCCGCGUGAGUUAUGACGGUCUUCCGAUCGUAAAACUCUGUUAUUAGGGGUAAACAUAUGUGUAAGUAACUGUGGACAUCUUGACGGUACCUGAUCAGAAAGCCCCGGCUAACUACGUG
rnacentral:rRNA from 1 species